CGCAAGCCUGAUGCAGCAACGCCGCGUGAGGGAUGACGGCCUUCGGGUUGUAAACCUCUUUUAGUAAGGAAGAAGGGAAGCUUGCUUCUUGACGGUACUUGCAGAAAAAGGACCGGCUAACUACGUGCCAGCAGCCGCGGUAAUACGUAGGGUCCGAGCGUUGUCCGGAAUUAUUGGGCGUAAAGAGCUCGUAGGCGGUUUGUCGCGUCUGCUGUGAAAUCCCGAGGCUCAACCUCGGGCCUGCAGCGGGUACGGGCAGACUUGAGUGCGGUAGGGGAGAAUGGAAUUCCUGGUGUAGCGGUGGAAUGCGCAGAUAUCAGGAGGAACACCGAUGGCGAAGGCAGUUCUCUGGGCCGUAACUGACGCUGAGGAGCGAAAGCGUGGGGAGCGAACAGGAUUAGAUACCCUGGUAGUCCACGCCGUAAACGUUGGGCGCUAGAUGUGGGGACCUUUCCACGGUUUCCGUGUCGUAGCUAACGCAUUAAGCGCCCCGCCUGGGGAGUACGGCCGCAAGGCUA
rnacentral:rRNA from 1 species